GCUUAGAGUUUGAUCCUGGCUCAGAUUGAACGCUGGCGGCAUGCUUUACACAUGCAAGUCGAACGGUAACAGGUCUUCGGAUGCUGACGAGUGGCGAACGGGUGAGUAAUACAUCGGAACGUGCCUAGUAGUGGGGGAUAACUACUCGAAAGAGUAGCUAAUACCGCAUGAGAUCUACGGAUGAAAGCAGGGGACCUUCGGGCCUUGUGCUACUAGAGCGGCUGAUGGCAGAUUAGGUAGUUGGUGGGGUAAAGGCUUACCAAGCCUGCGAUCUGUAGCUGGUCUGAGAGGACGACCAGCCACACUGGGACUGAGACACGGCCCAGACUCCUACGGGAGGCAGCAGUGGGGAAUUUUGGACAAUGGGCGAAAGCCUGAUCCAGCAAUGCCGCGUGCAGGAUGAAGGCCCUCGGGUUGUAAACUGCUUUUGUACGGAACGAAAAGCCUGGGGCUAAUAUCCCCGGGUCAUGACGGUACCGUAAGAAUAAGCACCGGCUAACUACGUGCCAGCAGCCGCGGUAAUACGUAGGGUGCAAGCGUUAAUCGGAAUUACUGGGCGUAAAGCGUGCGCAGGCGGUUUUGUAAGACAGUGGUGAAAUCCCCGGGCUCAACCUGGGAACUGCCAUUGUGACUGUAAGGCUAGAGUGCGGCAGAGGGGGAUGGAAUUCCGCGUGUAGCAGUGAAAUGCGUAGAUAUGCGGAGGAACACCGAUGGCGAAGGCAAUCCCCUGGGCCUGCACUGACGCUCAUGCACGAAAGCGUGGGGAGCAAACAGGAUUAGAUACCCUGGUAGUCCACGCCCUAAACGAUGUCAACUGGUUGUUGGGUCUUAACUGACUCAGUAACGAAGCUAACGCGUGAAGUUGACCGCCUGGGGAGUACGGCCGCAAGGUUG
rnacentral:rRNA from 1 species